GUAGGUGGCAAGCGUUGUCCGGAAUUAUUGGGCGUAAAGCGCGCGCAGGCGGUCCUUUAAGUCUGAUGUGAAAGCCCACGGCUCAACAGUGGAGGGUCAUUGGAAACUGGGGGACUUGAGUACAGAAGAGGAAAGCGGAAUUCCACGUGUAGCGGUGAAAUGCGUAGAGAUGUGGAGGAACACCAGUGGCGAAGGCGGCUUUCUGGUCUGUAACUGACGCUGAGGCGCGAAAGCGUGGGGGAACAAACAGGAUUAGAUACCCUGGUAGUCCACGCCGUAAACGAUGAGUGCUAAGUGUUAGGGGGGUUUCCGCCCCCCUUAGUGCUGCAGCUAACGCAUUAAGCACUCCGCCUGGGAGUACGGCCGCAAGGCUG
rnacentral:rRNA from 1 species